AUGGCCCGACAAAAGAAGAUGACAUACGCUAUGCUCACGCCGGAGCGCCGAUUCCAGAUUGAGGAGGAGAUCCGGGCGAGGUGCGUCGCCCGCAUCGCAGCCGGCCUGCCUUCGGACUCGCCGGAGCCGGAGGAGCAAGAGGAGUCGCAGCCGCAGCCGGUUUCAAUGGAGGUGGCGGAUUCGAAGAAGGACGAGGUGGCAUCGGCUGCGGGCUUCGGCAUGAAGGACGCCAUGGCGGAGUUCGCGGUCGCGCAAGCGGCGGAGAUGACGGAGCAGCAGGACAUCCCGGAGUCAUCCAGGAUGAGGCCUAUGUAG
rnacentral:rRNA from 1 species